UCUCUUUUAAAUGAUUUGAGAUGGCCUCUCGCCCUAUUCAGUGUAACAGCUGUGGUAGUGGGUUUGGUCGCUCGCAUUUAAAUUGGAAGGGUAAUGGUGGACCGCACUUCUCCCUUAGUAGGACGUUGCGACCUGUCAAAUAAUAUCCUAAGUAUUUGGCUAAUUUGUCUGUUUUUAGGCAGUACUGAAAGGUAUUUCCUUUAACAGUUUUAGCCGUUUACAUACUGGAUAUAAUUGACAGUAACGAAUCAUGGUGUUGAGCCACUUACUUUGUAAGUGUCCUUUAUGGCUGUUUGCAAGUGGGUUGGUUAAUUAGUUUUAGUCGGAUUUUGGUCCGUCUAACUAUUCCGCCUACUGUUGGUAAACUGUUCCUUGGACAGUGCUUAUAACACCGGUCGGCAGCGAUUCAGGUUCAGGCUCUUAUCCGACCCGUCUUGAAACACGGACCAAGGAGUUUAGCGUGUACGCAAGUCAUUGGGUGUAUAAAACCCAAAGGCGCAAUGAAAUUG
rnacentral:rRNA from 1 species